rnacentral:rRNA from 1 species
CCUACGGGAGGCAGCAGUGAGGAAUAUUGGUCAAUGGACGAGAGUCUGAACCAGCCAAGUAGCGUGAAGGAUGACUGCCCUAUGGGUUGUACACUUCUUUUAUAAAGGCAUACAACGAGGCACGUGUGCCUUUUUGCAUGUACUUUAUGAAUAAGGAUCGGCUAACUCCGUGCCAGCAGCCGCGGUCAUACGGAGGAUCCGAGCGUUAUCCGGAUUUAUUGGGUUUAAAGGGAGCGUAGAUGGGUUGUUAAGUCAGUUGUGAAAGUUUGCGGCUCAACCGUAAAAUUGCAAUUGAUACUGGCAGUCUUGAGUACAGUUGAGGUAGGCGGAAUUCGUGGUGGAGCGGUGAAAUGCUUAGAUAUCACGAAGAACCCCGAUUGCGAAGGCAGCUUACUAAACUGUGACUGACAUUGAUGCUCGAAAGUGUGGGUAUCAAACAGGAUUAGAUACCCGAGUAGUC